ACCCGAGACUCAGUGAAAUUGAACUCGCUGUGAAGAUGCAGUGUACCCGCGGCAAGACGGAAAGACCCCGUGAACCUUUACUAUAGCUUGACACUGAACAUUGAGCCUUGAUGUGUAGGAUAGGUGGGAGGCUUUGAAGCGUGGACGCCAGUCUGCGUGGAGCCAACCUUGAAAUACCACCCUUUAAUGUUUGAUGUUCUAACGUUGGCCCCUUACCGGGGUUGCGGACAGUGUCUGGUGGGUAGUUUGACUGGGGCGGUCUCCUCCCAAAGCGUAACGGAGGAGCACGAAGGUUAGCUAAUCCUGGUCGGACAUCAGGAGGUUAGUGCAAUGGCAUAAGCUAGCUUGACUGCGAGCGUGACGGCGCGAGCAGGUGCGAAAGCAGGUCAUAGUGAUCCGGUGGUUCUGAAU
rnacentral:rRNA from 1 species